UACGAAGGGUGCAAACGUUGCUCGGAAUUAUUGGGCGUAAAGAGCUCGUAGGCGGCUCGGUAAGUCGGAUGUGAAACCUCCAGGCUCAACCUGGAGACGCCAUCUGAUACUGCCGUGGCUUGAGUCCGGUAGAGGAGCAGGGAAUUCCUGGUGUAGCGGUGAAAUGCGCAGAUAUCAGGAGGAACACCAGCGGCGAAGGCGCUGCUCUGGGCCGGUACUGACGCUGAGACGCGAAAGCGUGGGGGAGCAAACAGG
rnacentral:rRNA from 1 species